AGGGUUCGAUUCGGCUCAGGAUGAACGCUAGCUACAGGCUUAACACAUGCAAGUCGAGGGGCAGCAUUGGAGUAGCAAUACUUCAGAUGGCGACCGGCGCACGGGUGAGUAACACGUAUCCAACCUGCCGCUUACUCGGGGAUAGCCUUUCGAAAGAAAGAUUAAUACCCGAUGGUAUAAAGAGUUCGCAUGUUCUCUUUAUUAAAGAAUUUCGGUAAGCGAUGGGGUUGCGUUCCAUUAGAUAGUUGGCGGGGUAACGGCCCACCAAGUCUACGAUGGAUAGGGGUUCUGAGAGGAAGGUCCCCCACAUUGGAACUGAGACACGGACCAGACUCCUACGGGAGGCAGCAGUGAGGAAUAUUGGUCAAUGGGCGGGAGCCUGAACCAGCCAAGUCGCGUGAAGGAAAAGAAGGAUCUAUGGUUCGUAAACUUCUUUUGCAGGGGAAUAAAGUGCAGGACGUGUCCUGUUUUGUAUGUACCCUGAGAAUAAGGAUCGGCUAACUCCGUGCCAGCAGCAGC
rnacentral:rRNA from 1 species